UCACCAUUUCCAGAUCAAACACCUGACUGGGGCCAGUGUAAACAGGUUCAGUGCGUCUGUCGUGAGACGUCAGGAAAGAACCCGAUUUCAGGCUGCAGUGGAUAAGGGGUUACCAAAAAGGAAUGUUUGGGUGCCACAAUUUUGCAUCUCAAGACAGUCACCCAGAAACUAGGAUUAAAGAGGUGCAACAGAGAAAGGUCAGACGUUCGCUUUUUGAUGAGAACUUUUCAUACUUGUUGAAACUGGAUAAAGUUAAAA